CCUACGGGCGGCAGCAGUGAGGAAUAUUGGUCAAUGGACGAGAGUCUGAACCAGCCAAGUAGCGUGAAGGAUGACUGCCCUAUGGGUUGUAAACUUCUUUUAUAUGGGAAUAAAAUGUUCCACGUGUGUGAUUUUGUAUGUACCAUAUGAAUAAGGAUCGGCUAACUCCGUGCCAGCAGCCGCGGUAAUACGGAGGAUCCGAGCGUUAUCCGGAUUUAUUGGGUUUAAAGGGAGCGUAGGCGGAUUGUUAAGUCAGUUGUGAAAGUUUGCGGCUCAACCGUAAAAUUGCAGUUGAAACUGGCAGUCUUGAGUACAGUAGAGGUGGGCGGAAUUCGUGGUGUAGCGGUGAAAUGCUUAGAUAUCACGAAGAACUCCGAUUGCGAAGGCAGCUUACUGGACUGCAACUGACACUGAGGCUCGAAAGUGUGGGUAUCAAACAGGAUUAGAUACCCUAGUAGUC
rnacentral:rRNA from 1 species